rnacentral:lncRNA from 1 species
GUACGUGUUUAGUUGAUACCUAAAUGUUCAUAAGGUUGUAAUUACAAAGGUACCAUGUGCACUGCUGGCCUUUCUUUUGCUGAACUUUGCAGAGUGUAGAUUAGUAUUGAAAGUUUUCUCUUGCAAUGAGUAGAGGAAUAGUAAUGACUAGGAGCUUGUCUUGGCCAAAACUCCUGAGUCAUGGCUAAGGCCUUUAUUUCUUUUGGCCUUGAAAGACCCUCAGAUAUAUAAUCUAACAUCUAAGUCUUGGGAGGGAUACGAUUGUAUAUGAUGCAUCUUUCAAGAAAUGUAUGUACUUGCUCUAUCUGCAAAACAUUUUCUUUUCAUGAUAUGAUUUGGCAAUGUGCAGAGUCU